rnacentral:tRNA from 1 species
GGGCGCAUAGCUCAGCCUGGUUAGAGCGUUUGCUUGACAUGCAAAAGGUCCCCAAAUAUAUCCUCA